rnacentral:tRNA from 1 species
GGAGGGGUAGUUCAAAGAAGAAUGACUGUAUUACAUACAGUAGGUUAGAGGCUCAAACCCUCUCCCCUCCA